GGGCUCGUAGUCGAAUGGUAAGACGUCUCCCUCACACGGAGAAGAUCAGGAGUCCGAUUCUCCUCGGGCCCA
rnacentral:tRNA from 1 species